UGAUGUGAAGGCGAUCUGGCUGCGACAUCUGUCACCCCAUUGAUCGCCAGGGUUGAUUUGGCUGAUCUGGAUGGCUAGGUGGGUGUCCUUCCUCCCUCACUGUUCCACGUGUGCCCCUCCCAAAGCUGCGUGCUCAGUCGAAGAGGACGUCUUUCCCCAAAUAGAGAGAGACCGGUCUUAGGUCAAGGGUGUAAGAGUAGAGUAGCUGUGCUCCCCUGCUAGAACCUCCACACAAGCUCCCAAGGUCCAAUCUGGAAAACAUCAAGGGGAGCUAGGCACUGUUUCUCUUAUCUGAGAGAAAAGAGG
rnacentral:snRNA from 1 species